rnacentral:rRNA from 1 species
UACGCAGGGGGCUAGCGUUGCUCGGAAUCACUGGGCGUAAAGCGCACGUAGGCGGACUCUUAAGUCGGUGGUGAAAUCCUGGAGCUCAACUCCAGAACUGCCUUCGAUACUGGGAGUCUCGAGUCCGGGAGAGGUGAGUGGAACUGCGAGUGUAGAGGUGAAAUUCGUAGAUAUUCGCAAGAACACCAGUGGCGAAGGCGACUCACUGGACACAUAUUGACGCUGAGGUGCGAAAGCGUGGGGAGCAAACAGG